CGGACGGGUGAGUAACGCGUGAGAAUCUACCUAUAGGUUCGGGACAACAGUUAGAAAUGACUGCUAAUACCGGAUAUGCCGAGAGGUGAAAGCUUUAGUGCCUGUAGAUGAGCUUGCGUCCGAUUAGCUAGAUGGAGUGGUAACGGCACACCAUGGCGACGAUCGGUAGCUGGUCUGAGAGGAUGACCAGUCACACUGGAACUGAGACACGGUCCAGACUCCUACGGGAGGCAGCAGUGGGGAAUUUUCCGCAAUGGGCGAAAGCCUGACGGAGCAAUACCGCGUGAGGGACGAAGGUCUGUGGAUUGUAAACCUCUUUUGUUAGGGAAGAUAGUGACGGUACCUAACGAAUAAGCAUCGGCUAACUCCGUGCCAGCAGCCGCGGUAAGACGGAGGAUGCAAGCGUUAUCCGGAAUUAUUGGGCGUAAAGCGUACGUAGGCUGUUAGAUAAGUCUGUUGUCAAAGCGCGAGGCUCAACCUUGUAAAGGCAAUGGAAACUGUUUGACUAGAGAGAGAUAGGGGCAGGAGGAAUUCCAGGUGUAGCGGUGAAAUGCGUAGAUAUCUGGAAGAACACCAGUGGCGAAAGCGUCCUGCUGGAUCUCAACUGACGCUGAAGUACGAAAGCUAGGGGAGCGAAUGGGAUUAGAUACCCCAGUAGUC
rnacentral:rRNA from 1 species